GGGGACGAAAGGAUUCGACAGGGGGCUAGGUAGCCGGAUAGCAGGCCGAGGUUGGCUGUCACCCUCGUAAAUCAGGCGGCCGAAAAUAACUGGCAAUCGCCAACUCGCUCUCGCCGCUUAAGUAGCGACGACGUUCCCGGCGACCCUCGCCCUGGUGGGGUUACCGGGAACGACGCAAUGCCAGGGUGCCGCGGUUCGACGCCGAUAACGGCCGCGAAAGACUCAUCGGCUGGCCGGGUGGCAUGGGGACCACCACUGACGCUCCCGGCAAGACCCGAAUCGGUGGGAAAGCCUGUAGGACAAUCCGGAGCUGAACUUCGCUGGACCGGGGGUUCAACUCCCCCGCGUCUCCACCA
rnacentral:tmRNA from 2 species